AUACGUAGGUGGCAAGCGUUGUCCGGAAUUAUUGGGCGUAAAGCGCGCGCAGGCGGUCCUUUAAGUCUGAUGUGAAAGCCCACGGCUCAACCGUGGAGGGUCAUUGGAAACUGGAGGACUUGAGUGCAGAAGAGGAAAGUGGAAUUCCAAGUGUAGCGGUGAAAUGCGUAGAGAUUUGGAGGAACACCAGUGGCGAAGGCGACUUUCUGGUCUGUAACUGACGCUGAGGCGCGAAAGCGUGGGGAGCAAACAGGAUUAGAUACCCUGGUAGUCCACGCCGUAAACGAUGAGUGCUAAGUGUUAGGGGGUUUCCGCCCCUUAGUGCUGCAGCUAACGCAUUAAGCACUCCGCCUGGGGAGUACGGUCGCAAGACUGAAACUCAAAUGAAUUGACGGGG
rnacentral:rRNA from 1 species